AGAGUUUGAUCCUGGCUCAGAUUGAACGCUGGCGGCAUGCCUUACACAUGCAAGUCGAACGGCAGCAUGGAGAGCUUGCUCUCUGAUGGCGAGUGGCGAACGGGUGAGUAAUACAUCGGAACGUGUCCGUUUGUGGGGGACAACCGUCCGAAAGGAUGGCUAAUACCGCAUAAGACCUGAGGGUGAAAGCCGGGGACCGCAAGGCCCGGCGCAGACGGAGCGGCCGAUGAUUGAUUAGCUAGUUGGGGAGGUAAAGGCUCACCAAGGCGACGAUCAAUAGCUGGUCUGAGAGGACGACCAGCCACACUGGAACUGAGACACGGUCCAGACUCCUACGGGAGGCAGCAGUGGGGAAUUUUGGACAAUGGGGGCAACCCUGAUCCAGCCAUGCCGCGUGCGGGAAGAAGGCCUUCGGGUUGUAAACCGCUUUUGUCAGGGACGAAAAGCUCCGGAGUAAUAUGCCGGAGUGCUGACGGUACCUGAAGAAUAAGCACCGGCUAACUACGUGCCAGCAGCCGCGGUAAUACGUAGGGUGCAAGCGUUAAUCGGAAUUACUGGGCGUAAAGCGUGCGCAGGCGGUUGGGUAAGACAGAUGUGAAAUCCCCGGGCUUAACCUGGGAACUGCAUUUGUGACUGUCCGACUGGAGUACGUCAGAGGGGGGUGGAAUUCCACGUGUAGCAGUGAAAUGCGUAGAUAUGUGGAAGAACACCGAUGGCGAAGGCAGCCCCCUGGGACGCAACUGACGCUCAUGCACGAAAGCGUGGGGAGCAAACAGGAUUAGAUACCCUGGUAGUCCACGCCCUAAACGAUGUCUGCUGGUUGUUGGGAAUUUAAUUCUCAGUAACGAAGCCAACGCGUGAAGCAGACCGCCUGGGGAGUACGGUCGCAAGAUUAAAACUCAAAGGAAUUGACGGGGACCCGCACAAGCGGUGGAUGAUGUGGAUUAAUUCGAUGCAACGCGAAAAACCUUACCCAGCCUUGACAUGUCAGGAAUGCCUCGGAGAUGAGGCAGUGCCCGCAAGGGAACCUGAGCACAGGUGCUGCAUGGCUGUCGUCAGCUCGUGUCGUGAGAUGUUGGGUUAAGUCCCGCAACGAGCGCAACC
rnacentral:rRNA from 2 species